rnacentral:rRNA from 1 species
UGAGUAACACGUGGGCAUCUGCCCUUCACUCUGGGACAAGCCCUGGAAACGGGGUCUAAUACCGGAUAACACUCUGUCCUGCAUGGGACGGGGUUGAAAGCUCCGGCGGUGAAGGAUGAGCCCGCGGCCUAUCAGCUUGUUGGUGGGGUAAUGGCCUACCAAGGCGACGACGGGUAGCCGGCCUGAGAGGGCGACCGGCCACACUGGGACUGAGACACGGCCCAGACUCCUACGGGAGGCAGCAGUGGGGAAUAUUGCACAAUGGGCGAAAGCCUGAUGCAGCGACGCCGCGUGAGGGAUGACGGCCUUCGGGUUGUAAACCUCUUUCAGCAGGGAAGAAGCGCAAGUGACGGUACCUGCAGAAGAAGCGCCGGCUAACUACGUGCCAGCAGCCGCGGUAAUACGUAGGGCGCAAGCGUUGUCCGGAAUUAUUGGGCGUAAAGAGCUCGUAGGCGGCUUGUCACGUCGGAUGUGAAAGCCCGGGGCUUAACCCCGGGUCUGCAUUCGAUACGGGCUAGCUAGAGUGUGGUAGGGGAGAUCGGAAUUCCUGGUGUAGCGGUGAAAUGCGCAGAUAUCAGGAGGAACACCGGUGGCGAAGGCGGAUCUCUGGGCCAUUACUGACGCUGAGGAGCGAAAGCGUGGGGAGCGAACAGGAUUAGAUACCCUGGUAGUCCACGCCGUAAACGUUGGGAACUAGGUGUUGGCGACAUUCCACGUCGUCGGUGCCGCAGCUAACGCAUUAAGUUCCCCGCCUGGGGAGUACGGCCGCAAGGC